GCCCGCCGCCCGCCGCCGCCCGGCAGGCCGCUCCAGGCACCUGGAUGAACUGGAUGUUCGAUCAAAUGUAGCAGGCAUCACAGCUCAAUGUAGGAUGGGAGAAACAAAGUAAGAAGUUUGACUACCGUAAGACUGCCAUGCUAGAGAGGCCACAUGUAGACAUGCCAGUCAAAAGUCCAGCUGAGCUCCCACCAGAUCACCAGCAUCAACUGCCAGCCAUCUGAGUGAGACACCUGGGACACCCAACCUAGCCUAAUCCAGCCUUCUAAUGACUGCAUCCCCUGCUGGCACCUGGCUGUAACUACUGAGAGACCCCAAGCAGGAACUGCCCAGCCCAGCCCUACCUGAAUUCUUGAUGCAGAAAAUCAUGAGUAAAGUAAAAUUGUAAGCUGUU